UGUAUAAUGUCCAAUAGAUGA
rnacentral:piRNA from 1 species